UCACAGUUUUCAUAGUUUAAAUUGUGAUACUUUCUCACAUCUCCCCAAGUCUUUUGUGCUUUGUCGUCAUACAUAUUACAGCUGUAUACAUUUUUUACCUUAGUCAUGUUUCCAAGAAAUUAAAAGAAUAAAUAUGUAUACAUAUUGCCUUUUAUAUUUACCUACAUUUUACUAUUUCUAGUACUUUUCAUUUCUGUUUAUGGUGCAUUGUCUUUAAAAAUAUCUACCCCAAAUUCUUCACAUUCCUGUAUCAUGUUGCUUCUCUCAUUAUGAAGUAAUAUCUAUUUUCCUACCUGCUGAGUCUGGGCUGGUAUUUUGUCUUGUUUUAAUGAACAAAAUAUGUUUUUGGUGAAAGUGAUGCCAUGCCAAUCCUAGACCUAACACCUUGGGAAGGUGUAUACCUUCUACUUUUAUCCUCUAGGAAUCCAAUCAACAAAUAAAAAAUUUUAGAAUGACUGAAUGACUAAAAGCAUUUGAGGAGAAAAGCCUGACCCAACCAGUUGAGCUAGCAGACAUGUAAACGAAGCUAUUUUGUCAGUUCUACCUUUGGUUAAACAAUCCCUGCUAAAGGAAACCACAUAAGCAGUAAUAAAUACCUAGAGCAAAGGACCCAUCAGGUUAUGUAAUGCCAAAUUAUAGAAUAAGGAGAAAUAACAAAGAAUUUUUAUUUUAAAUCAUUAAGUUUAUUACACAGUGAACUAAAACACACAGUGCAUCUGUUUCUAGCUGGUGGAUCAUCUCCUUUUAUCCUGAAGAGGUUCUUUUAGCAUUGUUCAUAGUAGAUAUCUAUUGGUAUUGAAUUUUCUUACUUUUUAUUUAUUUGAAAAUGUCUAUUCUGCUUUCAGUUUUGAAGAGUAUUUAUCCUGGAUUAGCAGUUUUUGUCUUCUAGCACCUUAAACCUUUCCAUUAACUUUAACCUCUCAUUUCUGAUAAGAUGUCAGCUAUUAUUUUAGUCAUUUUUACCAAUGCAUAACACACCACUCUUUUCUAAUUGCCUUCAAGACCUUUUUCCUCCUAAUUGAUUAUUUACAGUGGACUCUGAUGCAUCUAGAUGUGAUUUUCUUUGUAACUAACCUUUGUAUCCACUGAGUUUCCUAAAUCUGUUAACAUCUUUUUUGUUAAUUUGGGAUAAUUUUAGCCAUCAUUAUCUUAAAUAUUUUUUUCUGUACAACUUAUGCCUCUAUUCUUUUAGAAAUCUAAUUAUAUGUAUGUUAGGUCACUUUGUACUGAUAGUAACCACGUCUCUAUUUUUUUCUUUCUGAUUUUUAGACCAGAUAAUUUUUAUUGGUCUAUCUCCAAGUUAACUUUUUGUUGUUUUUGCACUAUACAAUCUGAUGAUAGAUUUGCUUCAUGAAUUUUUCAUUUCAAAUACUAUACUUUUUAUUUCUUUUAAAAGAAAUUUUUCAUUUAUAUAGUGACACCCAUAUCUACUUAUUCAUUAUGAUUAAGCUUUUCUUUAACUCCUUGAAAUUAGUUAUAAAAACUAUUUAAAUUUUUUUUCUGCUAAUCCUAACAUCUGGGUCAGCUCAUGGAACUUUUUUUAUAUGUGAUAUUUUCUCUUGUUCUCAUUUUUCUAUCUUCUUUGCAUUCUGGCAAAAUUUAAUGAUAUUCUACAUGCCUAUAAUCCCAGCGACUCAGGAGGCUAAGGCAGGAGGAUCAAGAGUUCAAAGCUAGCCUCCGCAACUAAGGGAUGCACUUAGCAACUCAAUGAGACCCUGUAUCUAAAUAAAAUGCAAAAAAAGGGCUGAGGUUGUGGCUCAAUGGUUAAGCACCCCUGGGUUCAAUCCCUGGUACCAAAAAAAUUUUUUUAAUUAUAUUCUGGUCAUUUAUAGAUGACACAUCAUAGGAAGUCUGGAUUAUGUUGUCUUCCUAUAAAGGAUAUUCUGUUUUAUGUGUCAUGCAGGCUAAUUACUGGUAAAUUGUUUUGAUCAUAUUAGAUUUGGUAUUAUUAUUAUUAUUAUUACUAUUAUUAUUAUUAUUAUUUGGUACCAGAGAUUGAACUCAGGGUACUCAAUUACUGAGCCACAUCCCCAGACCUAUUUUGUAUUUUACUGAGAGACAGGGUCUUGCUGAGCUGCUUUAGCACCUCGAUUUACUAAGGCUGGCUUUGAGCUCGUGAUCCUCUUGCUUCAUCCACCCCAGUCACUGGGAUUAUAGGCAUAUUCCACCGCGCCUGGCUAGGUUUGGUAUUUUUCUUUUUUUCCAUAUUUCAAUGGUGCAUUAUACUUGUACAUAAUGGUGGGAUUUGUUGUUAUGUUUUCAUACAUAUGUACAAUAUAGUGAUAAAACUUAGCCAAUAUCUUUCUCGAGUAUUUCUCUUUUACCUGCUUUCCUCUCUCCCCUGAUCCCUUUCCUCUAUUCUACUGAUCUCCCUUUGAUUGUCGUGAGAUUCCUUUCACACACACACACACCUUUCUUUUCCUUUUUCCUUUCUGGCUGCCACAUACAUUUUUAGCAUGAAUCAAUUUUGGUUUCAAAUUUAGGUCUACCAUUUUCCCUUUACUCUUUUGUGUGUGGUUCUUUUUGCUAAGGCUUAUUUCUGAACUCUUAAUUAAGUACCUGAUAUACUAGUGAAGCUGCUGCAACCUGACUCUGCUGGGAACCUAAUUUCUUCCAACAUUGCCAUUUAGCAUCAUCUUCAGUCUCCUUUAUAGCAGUCAAACUCUGCUAAGCCUUAAAGAGUCUCAUCUGGUACAUUCAUAUCAAAAAUGAAUUUCCUCCAGGCUUUUAGUAUUCUCUCUCUAACACACACACACAUAAUCACAUUGCAUACACCAUACAUAGCUCAGACAUUCUUGUCCACAAAAUUCCAACCACUAUGAUAAUCUUGCACUUUGAUAAUUUUCUCCUUAACUCAGUAUGACCACCAUCUUACUUGAGCUUCAUCCCCCUAAUUAAGUGUGUUUUGUGCACCAGGCCUACAGC
rnacentral:lncRNA from 1 species